rnacentral:sRNA from 1 species
CUUCCUCUUCCGCUAACUUCCCGGCAGCGCGCCGCUCAGGGUGGGGGCCCCGAGGGCUGGGGCCGUCGGCUUCCCCCUGGGGUUCCCCCGCUUCAGAGAAAGCCAAGCGUUAGGCGCAGCCAAAGCCGAGAGGCAGCGGAAGCUCCCGGCCCGGGGUGGCGCUGGGUCAGCGGGUACCUUCUCGGCGGUCCCCUGGCCGGCCGGACUCGCGCCUGGUGUCCUGUCACCCCGCUCCCCGCCCUGAGUGAGCCUGUCCCCUCUCAGGGGCGCGCCCGAGUCGCUCCGGGUUGGCUGCGCCAGUCCAGAGUUAAACUUUCAGCCAAUGAAAAAGGGCGCGAGGCGUGACGCACGGAAACGUCAUGGGAAUUCCCCCCUCCGGGGGGCCGAGAAGGGGCUUUCCCGGCCCUGAGCCCUGCUGGCCGGCGAGGUGUCGCGACCGGUCCCAGGUGGGUCGGGCGCGGAGAGAAGCCGCAACCAGAGCCGCCGCCACGGCGGGCGUCUAAAAUUCUGGGAAGCAGAACCUGGCCGGAGCCACUAGACAGAGCCGGGCCUAGCCCAGAGA